GUGCUCGCUUCAGCAGCACAUAUACCAAAAUUGGAACGACACAGAGAAGAAUAGCAAGGCCCGUACGCAACAAUGACACAUAAAUUCAUGAAGCUUCCAUAUUUUU